GCAUGCCCUCGAGCGAGAACGACUCGCACGCUAGACUCCCUGCCCUCGUUCGUCGCCGCCUUCAUCCCUUCGCCUCCGCCGCCCUUCAUCCCUUCGCCGCCGCACUCGGUCUCACAUCAAAGGCGCCCCACUCGCGGGAGAGGAUGAGCUGAUCUCCAUGGCCAGAUGAGGGAGGAAUACGGGUGACGGGAUGGAUUUGGAUCUCAAGGCGGGGAGGCCAACGUAGCCGCCCCUAGCGCGUCGAGCGAAAGCGAGGGAUUUGGAUCUCAUGGAUUUGGCUGCGUCGACCAGCAGAGGACCGCCGCCGGCUUGGCUCCUCCACCACAAAGCAACCUCCUUCCACCCCGUAGCCGCCGCCCAAAACCCUAGCAAUCGAGCCCCACCCAUGGCGCCCUAGGUGGUACAGCGGCCAGAGGAGAGGAGAGGAGGUGGAGCAGCCAUCGCCUGGACGUGAGGUGAGCUUCCCCCAUCCAAUCUUAUCUACCCCCACCACCAGGUGGCUCACAAUAUCUAUCACCUGCAGCAGCAUCUUGUGCAUGCAUCCAUUGAGGACGUGAGGUGCACACCACAUUUUGGUUCAGUUUUUCCCUUCUUUAUUAUAAUUAUGCCAAGGACAUCUUAUGCCUUACAGUAGUAUUCAGAUUCUCAAGUUUGUUUAUUUAUUUUUAGUGCAAUACUGCUCUCCUGUCUGCAGGAGAUUGGAGGAGAAAAUAUCAGAAAUCGGAAACAUGACGUUUUGGAUCAGUUCUGGAUCAUUUUCUUUUUUGGUUCAGUUUAUAUAAGUGGUUGUUGUUUUAUGUUGCUGCUAGCCAUCAGAAAACGAGUUCACACGGUGAAUGGGCAGCGCGGGCGUCGAGCAGGAUCAUGGGGGAGCAGGGGAGGCCAGAGGCUGCUCACCAUAUACAUCGCCAUCCAUAGCCGCCCUCGUCCGCCAAGAAGCUGAGGAGGGAGGCUGACCUCCAGUGACCACUCUGCACCGCUCUGGACGACACCCUCCCCCACCAGGUUCAUCCUCCUAAUUCGUUUUAAUCAUCCCAAUUUUUUUGUCUUACCACAGUUAAGAAAUACGAUUCAUGUUUGCUAUUGCAUUUGGAGCUCCAUCCUUACAACUUAUGGAUAAUAUGAAUACAUCAAGGUGUUUUGGUUCUCCCCAUUCUGUAUGUUCGCAAUGGAGUGUAUAUAUUGUUGAUUUAUGUCAUGGUGAUUGAAUUUGAUUGCAGAGAGAAAGUGCAAAAGCUAUGGGCAAUCCUAUAUGACUGGCGCCAUCAGUAAGGAUUUAUUUAAAGCUAGCUUACUGUUGGGUCUAAGCCAAGUUUAUUUCUUUCGCAGAUUUAUUCACCUUAUUGGCACGGUGGGGUUAAUAUAUAUACAUCAAUUUUGAGCAUCAGCAACGCAUGAAGCUUGCUUCUGAGGCUACAACAUACUUUGCAAUCCCCCUGUGAAACAUACUUUUGUCACUAUGCACAUAUGGUUAUUCGAACGAAUUGAUUUCGAUUAGACUAUCUUUUUCCUAAUUACUUGUUAUAUGAUGUUCUUUACUAUUCAGAGGUUGUUGAAGGGAGAUGGGGCUCUUCUGGCCCCUUUGGUGCAAAAGCACAAGCAACAGCAUCUACAGCUGACCACUCAUAGCCUAGGAUGUCUUGCAGAUUUGAUCUAUUUUGGAUAGAGUACAUGGAAUCAAACCACAAGUAAUCAAUUUGCUAUAUUCACGUGAUUAGCUAUAAGGAAUUUAUUACCUCUGUUUUAUUUGCAGGAUACCCAAGCAGUGCGUACAAAUUGUAGUGGUGCUUGUAGCUUAUCAUCAAUCUGCCAUUAUUAUUUGUAUGUAUGUGUUCAAAACGACCACCUAGAGAUUCUUGAUUUGCUCCUGGCUGCACCGUUGGGUUUCUCGCGGCUUUGUUUCGUUUGAGUUCUAUUGUUCAAAACUGAAUUUGUUGAUGCUUAGAGUUUGGACUGGUCCGUUUGAUACGUCUGCACUCGUGAUGCGGAACAUUUUCCAACAUAGUGUGGGUUCAGAAGUGAGGAAAACAAUUGGCUUGCAGGGUUCAGGCUACUUUCUUGUGCUUGUUUUGCCUUGUGAUUACUUGAAACUGCAACCUGCAGGUUGAAUGGGCGCUUUAUAUUUUAGGGCGGAAGACUGAAGCAAAGAAAACUGCGGCUCUUUAGUAUAUCUUCAGAUUUGCGGCUCUUUGAGCUGUGGUACAUUUGAUUCGAGACCCGGAUGAGGUUGGUUUUACGUUUCUUAUUGGAAGAGUGAGAUGCCCAGGACAGAAUCCAGUUUGUAUCAACGCCUCAUUGAAUAGAAUCAUGUAGAUUCUGCUUCAUACAAGCUUCAUAAAGAAAUAGUUUUAAGGGAGGACUUCAAAGAGUAUUUUGCCAAAUUUGGUAAAGUGCGGGGAUGGAGGGCAGUCAGCAUCCACCUCGAGGCAGAGGGGUGGGCAGAAGGACGGUCGGUGUUCAACUCUCUACGGUUCAAAACCAAGUCCAUCCAAGCCUCAAAGUAUAAAGAAGGCGCCUAGACACUCGAUGGGUGGUGUAAACCGUAGGGUGUCCAUUGGUGGAGCCACGAUGCAAGCAUCCAAAACAGACAUAUUGUAUACGAAGAAUGUUCAUGCUGCCAAGAGAAGUGAAGACAUUGCCCAUUUGUCCCCUGGGUGGGCGUGUAACUAGAGAACAAAACACUAUGGCGGCAAAUGAGACUAUCGAACCGAACUGAUUGUACUGAAAACUAGGACCUAAACUUGUGCUGCUGGCCAACCUUUUCUUCAGGGAAUGCCAAGAUAUUCGCCAAACAAAGCCAUAGGAUGGUGCUAUACACAGAGGACAACCUAUCAGGUGAGAAUCGAUUCGUGGCUCUUUCUCUUUUUUGAACUGGUCGUUAUGUGGUUCUUGGGGACUCGCACUCUGUUUUGUUUCUUUUUUUACCUCCUAUUUAUGGGCUCCCUUCUGUUAGGGAGUCCACUAAUGACCAGAUGGGUAUCUUGUCGCUCAUCUACAGCAAGUCGGGCUCCAGUGUGUUUGGGUCAGCGUCCACGGAGGAGCAGAUAACUGACGGCAUUUACGCUGCCGGGCUCACUAUCCUCAUCACACGUGACCACAACCCACCCAACCGACUGUUACAAUGGUCGUGGAGCUUCUUGGAUUAAACUUGCAAAGAGUAGUACUGGAAAGCUUCAUUUUCGUAAGAUGCUCUGGUAUCUCCGAGUAGAAGAAAGCAAAGCCAACAAGGGCAAUACAAAAGGUAGGAAGACCAUACGAAGACCAAUACAAAAAGGAGGAUGCAUGAGCUUCAGAUCUGAUUGAAUUUAGUCAGAAGAUGGAGACUUAGAGGAGGAAUUAGUGGAGAAUGGGAAGGUGGAUAGAACAUGGGAACAAAUCAAAUACGUGUAGUAUUCCUAUGAGGGGAGUGAGUGGAGACAGAAAUGAGUGCACGUGGAGCAGCUACUGCCUAUGAGGCGAGUGAGUGGAGACGGCCAAAUCUAUGCGGCGGAGGGGCUAUAGAAGCUUGAACGAAAGAUUCGUCGCCAGCAUCGGAGCAAUUUAUUGGGCAAAUCGGCACUAAAUCUCCUGCAUGGACGUGAAGGCAUGUCUUUAUUAAGUUCAAUCUUUGAAAACUUGGCAUGUGACGCUGUGUAAAAAUAGAAGAUGCUAGAAAAUUGUCUCUGGCCACUUUCGUAUGUAGCCGUGAGCAUUGCUAAUUUCUGUCAACCUGAACGAUAUUUGGACUGUUUAUAUAGCUACCAUGUGCUGAACAAAUUGUCUGAUUAAUGUAAUACUCCUGAAUAGAUUGGUGUGCGUGCCAUGUCAUUUGGUCUGCGUUACACUAACAGAAUCAUUUUGUCA